rnacentral:rRNA from 1 species
CCUACGGGAGGCAGCAGUAAGGAAUAUUGGUCAAUGGGCGCGAGCCUGAACCAGCCAAGUAGCGUGAAGGAUGACAGCCCUACGGGUUGUAAACUUCAUUUAUAAAGGAAUAAAGUGAGGCACGUGUGCCUUGUUGUAUGUACUUUAUGAAUAAGGAUAGGCUAACUCCGUGCCAGCAGCCGCGGUAAUACGGAGGAUCCGAGCGUUAUGCGGAUUUAUGGGGUUUAAAGGGAGCGUAGAUGGGUUGUUAAGUCAGUUGUGAAAGUUUGCGGCUCAACCGUACAAUUGCACUUGAUACUGGCAGCCUUGCGUACAGUUGCGGUAGGCGGAAUUCGUGGUGUAGCGGU